rnacentral:rRNA from 1 species
UACGUAGGGAGCAAGCGUUGUCCGGAAUCAUUGGGCGUAAAGGGCUCGUAGGCGGCCAACUAAGUCAGACGUGAAAUCCCUCAGCUUAACUGGGGAACUGCGUCUGAUACUGGAUGGCUUGGAUCCGGAAGAGGGAUGCGGAAUUCCAGGUGUAGCGGUGAAAUGCGUAGAUAUCUGGAGGAAUACCGGUGGCGAAGGCGGCAUCCUGGACCGACAUUGACGCUGAGGAGCGAAAGCUAGGGGAGCAAACGGG